AGCGAACGCUGGCGGCAUGCCUAACACAUGCAAGUCGCACGGGUCGGCUUCGGCCGGUCAGUGGCGUACGGGUGAGGAACGCGUAGGGAUCUGUCCUCUGGUGGGGGAUAACCGCGGGAAACUUCGGCUAAGACCGCAUGGGGCGCCGGUGUCAGAGCCGGUGUCAAAGGCGCGCAUCGCGAGGUGUGUGUCGCCUGGGGGUGAGCCUGCGUCCGAUUGGCGGGGUGGCGGGGUAGUGGGCCACCAAGGCGUCGAUCGGUAGCUGGGCUGAGAGGGUGAUCCAGCAUACUGGGACUGGGACACGGCCCAGACUCUGACGGGAGGCAGCAGUGGGGAAUAUUGGACAAUGGGCGCAAGCCUGAGCCAGCAAUGCCGCGUGGGUGAAGAAGGGCUUCGGAUUGUAAAGCCCUUUCGGCGGGGACGAUGGUGACGGUACCCGCAGAAGAAGCCCCGGCUAACUUCGUG
rnacentral:rRNA from 1 species